AGAAAAUAUCAUGUAAUAUAAUAUUAAUUUUCUGAGUUAUAUAACAAGGAAAAAGCAAAAAAACAAGCAAAACACAGCUUUUUAACCUAGAAAAGUAGAUCUGGUCACACAUUCGACAACUGUAUAAGAUUUGUACUUGACCGGAAACUGAAUGGAACAAAGUUCCCUUCUGUCUUCUUCUUCGUCUUCUUCUUUGAAGGUUCCUAGACCUGCAAUUUCUCUUUGUUUCAUCACCCAAUUCAUUUAACAAGGUAAUUCUUUUCUCUUUUAUUAAAGAUUGAUAUUUUCUCCUUUCUCUGCACUUUUUUCUUUCUUGAAACCUAUUAAGAAGAAGAAAAAAAAGAAUCAGUCUUUUGAUAUCUUUCUGUAUAGAUUUGGUUGUGAACAAUCCUUCAUUUGAUUUGCAAUGUAAGCAAACACAAGAUUUUUAAUGGAGAAUUAUGGGUCUUCAUCUUCUUACCCGUACAAUAACCCCUGUCCAUACCCUUAUCGUCAUCCUCCUCCAAAUCAUGGCUAUCCACCUCCUCCCAAUUCAGAUUCAUACCACCCCUCUGCUUCCUAUCCAUACCCUUAUGCUCAUUAUACGUAUCCACCACACGCUUACGCAUCACCACCACCUGCGUACGCAUCACCACCACCUCCCUAUUCGUAUCCUUACCCUUCAUCUCCAAUUCCACAUGGUUCUCCUUCACCAUCCCUUUCACAUCAUGGCAGUUUCGAUUACAGUUUAUCGCAGUAUCCUUAUCAGCAUCAACCGGGCCAUGAUAGCACCCCACAAGGAGCUUCCCUUUCCUCUCAUCAAAGACAUGAUAUUUGCCCUCCUUUGGGAACUGGGUCAUCGAUAAAUCAUGAUACUUAUAGUGAUUCCGCCAAUUCUCACUCUUCUGCAUACCCACCUUUGGAUGAUCUGUUGAGUAACAUGCAUUUGAAUGAUAAUAAUCGCCCUUCUGCCCCUGCUUCCCCGCCAGCGCCUUCAGUGCCACCAGUGCCUGAUUCCUCUAUUAGCCUUCAUAGUUUGAGUUUGGGGCAUGGAUAUAAACAAGACUUUUAUGGUUAUCCUAAUGACUCCUUUUCAAGUAAUUACGAGGGGGCUUAUUUGGGCCAGGCUGAUUCUUCUGGUCAAUAUUCUACAUCUGUUUAUGCCCAUUCAAGUUCCUCUAACGAUUCACAGCAUAGCCAGGGUACGCAGAUUGUGCCUUGGCAGAAUGGUAAAGCAUCUCUGCGGGUUUUGCUUUUACAUGGAAAUUUGGAUAUAUGGGUUUAUGCUGCGAAGAACCUUCCAAACAUGGACAUGUUUCAUAAGACACUAGGUGAUAUGCUUAAUAAAUUACCAGGAAAUAUAGGAACCAAGGUAGAAGGAAAAAUGAGCCGCAAGAUUACCAGCGAUCCAUACGUUUCAAUUUCAGUAGCUGGUGCUGUAAUUGGGAGAACUUUUGUGAUUAGCAACAGUGAAGAUCCUGUUUGGAUGCAACAUUUUUAUGUUCCUGUUGCACAUUAUGCUGCUGAAGUGCAAUUUUUGGUUAAAGACAGUGAUGUUGUGGGUUCACAGUUAAUAGGAAUUGUUGCCAUUCCAGUUGAACGAAUAUAUUCAGGGGCUAGAGUUGAGGGAGUUUACCCUGUUUUGAAUAGCAGUAGUAAACCAUGUAAACCUGGAGCUGUAUUGAAAAUUUCAAUUCAAUAUACCCCAAUGGAGAAACUGAGCAUUUACCA
rnacentral:misc_RNA from 1 species